rnacentral:rRNA from 1 species
GGCUCAGGAUGAACGCUGGCGGCGUGCUUAACACAUGCAAGUCGAACGAAGCAGUUUAUUACGAUCCCUUCGGGGUGACGAUUUACUGACUGAGUGGCGGACGGGUGAGUAACGCGUGGGUAACCUGCCUUGUACAGGGGGACAACAGUUGGAAACGACUGCUAAUACCGCAUAAGCGCACAGCUUUGCAUGAAGCAGUGUGAAAAGUAUUUUCGGUACAAGAUGGACCCGCGUCUGAUUAGCUAGUUGGUGAGGUAACGGCCCACCAAGGCGACGAUCAGUAGCCGACCUGAGAGGGUGACCGGCCACAUUGGGACUGAGACACGGCCCAAACUCCUACGGGAGGCAGCAGUGGGGAAUAUUGCACAAUGGGCGAAAGCCUGAUGCAGCGACGCCGCGUGAGCGAAGAAGUAUUUCGGUAUGUAAAGCUCUAUCAGCAGGGAAGAUAAUGACGGUACCUGACUAAGAAGCACCGGCUAAAUACGUGCCAGCAGCCGCGGUAAUACGUAUGGUGCAAGCGUUAUCCGGAUUUACUGGGUGUAAAGGGAGCGUAGGCGGUUUUACAAGUCUGAUGUGAAAGCCCGGGGCUCAACUCCGGUAUUGCAUUGGAAACUGUAGAACUAGAGUGUCGGAGGGGUAAGUGGAAUUCCUAGUGUAGCGGUGAAAUGCGUAGAUAUUAGGAGGAACACCAGUGGCGAAGGCGGCUUACUGGACG